UACGGGGGGGGGCAAGCGUUUGUUCGGAAUUACUGGGCGUAAAGGGCUCGUAGGUGGCCAACUAAGUCAGACGUGAAAUCCCCCAGGCUCAACUUGGGAACUGCAUCUGAUACUGGAUGGCUUGAGAUUGGGAGAGGGAUGCGGAAUUCCAGGUGUAGCGGUGAAAUUCGUAGAUAUCGGGAGGAACACCGGUGGCGAAGGCGGCGACCUGGGUAGAUACUGACGCUGAGGUGCGAAAGCGUGGGGAGCAAACAGG
rnacentral:rRNA from 1 species